GGUUUGGUCCUGACCUUAAAGUCAAUUAUUUCUUAAUAUACACAUGCAAGUAUCAGCCCUCCUGUGAAAACGCCCUUAAUUUUCCCCAUUAGGGAUAAGGAGCUGGUAUCAGGCACAAAAUAUGCCCAAAACACCUAGCUAUGCCACACCCACAAGGGAACUCAGCAGUGAUUAACAUUAAAUAUAAGCGCCAGCUUGAUUUAGUUAAAGAAAAUAGAGCCGGCAAAUCUGGUGCCAGCCGCCGCGGUUACACCACGUGACUCAAAUUGAUUUACAUCGGCGUAAAGCGUGAUUUAAGAGUAUUAAAAUUGAAAUUAAAUUUUAAUUAAGCUGUAACACGCUUGUUUUUAAGAAAACCAAACACGAAAGUUAUUUCAAUUAUCUCCACUUGAAUUCACGACAAUUAGGGUACAAACUGGGAUUAGAUACCCCACUAUGCCUAAUCGUAAACUUUAAUUUACACCAACAUCGCCAGGGAACUACGAGCAAAGCUUAAAACCCAAAGGACUUGACGGUACCCCAAAUCCACCUAGAGGAGCCUGUCCUAUAAUCGAUAACCCCCGUUAAACCUCACCACUUCUAGUUUAUCAGCCUGUAUACCUCCGUCGUCAGCUUACCUCGUGAGCGGAUAUUAGUGAGCCUAAUGCUUAUACACCAACACGUCAGGUCAAGGUGCAGUAUAUGAAGUGGGAAGAGAUGGGCUACACUUUCUAAUUUAGAACAUACGAAAAAUUAUUUAUGAAAACUAAUUUGAAGGCGGAUUUAGAAGUAAAAAGAAAUUAGUGUAUUCUUUUUAACCCGGCACUGGGGUGUGUACACACCGCCCGUCACCCUCUUCAAGGCCCAUUUAUAGUAUUUAACUAAAUUUGCUAUUCAGAAGAGGCAAGUCGUAACAUGGUAAGUGUACCGGAGGUGUGCUUGGGAA
rnacentral:ncRNA from 1 species